GAAAUGCGAUAAUUAAUGUGAAUUGCAGAAUUCAGUGAAUCAUCGAGUCUUUGAACGCACAUUGCGCCCCCUGGUAUUCCGGGGGGCAUGCCUGUCCAAGCGUCAUUGCUGCCCUCAAGCACGGCUUGUGUGUUGGGCUUCCGUCCCUGGCAACGGGGACGGGCCCAAAAGGCAGUGGCAGCACCAUGUCUGGUCCUCGAGCGUAUGGGGCUUUGUCACCCGCUCCCGUAGGUCCAGCUGGCAGCUAGCCUCGCAACCAAUCUUUUUAACCAGGUUGACCUCGGAUCAGGUAGGGAUACCCGCUGAACUUAAGC
rnacentral:misc_RNA from 1 species